rnacentral:rRNA from 1 species
AACGAACGCUGGCGUGCCUAAUACAUGCAAGUCGAGCGAACGGACGAGAAGCUUGCUUCUCUGAUGUUAGCGGCGGACGGGGGGGUAACACGUGGAUAACCUACCUCUUAGACUGGGAUAACUUCGGGAAACCGGAGCUAAUACCGGAUAAUAUUUUGAACCGCAUGGUUCAACAGUGAAAGACGGUCUUGCUGUCGCUUAUAGAUGGAUCCGCGCUGCAUUAGCUAGUUGGUAAGGUAACGGCUUACCAAGGCAACGAUGCAUAGCCGACCUGAGAGGGUGAUCGGCCACACUGGAACUGAGACACGGUCCAGACUCCUAAGGGAGGCAGCAGUAGGGAAUCUGCCGCAAUGGGCGAAAGCCUGACGGAGCAACGCCGCGUGAGUGAUGAAGGUCUUCGGAUCGUAAAACUCUGUUAUGAGGGAAGAACAUAUGUGUAAGUAACUGUGCACAUCGUGACGGUACCUAAUCAGAAAGCCACGGCUAACUACGUG